rnacentral:lncRNA from 13 species
CUCCAGGAUACUGUGAAGAUUUCAGGCAACAAGAUGACUUUCAGGUGGGGAUCAACAACUCUUGAGUCUGGAAGAGGUGAUCCUUGAAAAUCAGUCAGCCUUCCUGAACUCCUCCUCUCUUCUGCAAGAUGCUGUCACGUGGGAUACUUCCAAGCAGAUGUUGGAUUGGAGAGGCUAUUUAUGAACAUCAAACUGUGGUCCAUUUCUCCCUGGAGUAUCUUGCAGAUGCACAGCUGCAGCUCUUCAGCACCAAGGGAAGAAUGAGCUAUCCACAGACACCAGCAAAAAGCCGGGAACAUUCAGGCCACACAAGAAAUCACUUGGAACAAGGGUCAUCCCAAAACAAAAGCAAUUCAAGCAGCCUAUCUGAGAGGAAGAUGAGGAAGGAAGGAAGGAAGAAGACUUAUUUCAUCUUCUGCACUGCGGAUCAUUUUUACAUCAUCUCAGAUUAUGCAAUAUACCAUGGCAGGGACUGUGAAGCAGGAGUUCAUUGA